AUGCUUUCCUCCCCUGUAACCAGUAUCAUCCCAUCACUAAGCUUUCUUCGCUCACGUCUUAGCUCUAAAAAAAAAAAAAAAAAAAUAAGAAAAAAAACAGUAUUACCAA